rnacentral:snRNA from 1 species
AGCUUUGUGCAGUGGCAGUAUCAUAGCCAAUGAGGUUUAUCCAAGGCACAAUUAUUGCUAACUGAAAAG